rnacentral:lncRNA from 1 species
CAGGAGUAGAGCUUCUCUCCUUGUACUUCUCCCUUCCCUGGUCCCCUCUGUGGUAGAUGGGGGUGUGCACCUUGGUCGAGAAAGCCAUACCCCCAGGGGACACAGCCCCUUGGCCUGGUCCAACACUCAGACCCAGUAUCUGAAGCGACUGCUCUUACUCUUCCAGUAGAGUCCCCGGGGAGUGAGGAGAGAGGCGAGGCCCCAGUCUCACUCCCACACCUUCACGGGCUCCCCUCUGUCCCACGUCCCCUCCUCCCCCUUCUGAGGACUCAGUGGCAGGUUCUGUCAGCCAAAAAGACCCUCUCCUGAUCUGAAGCUGCCUGGGUUGGAACCGGCCAGCGGGUACAGUCAGUGGGCUGACCGAAGGGGCUGCUCGGUCUCAUUCAUUGACCUAGAAUGCAUCACGGAAAUCUUCUAGUGCCUACAAACUGCCUGCUCGCUCUCGCAGUCGGAGAGCUGCUGUGUUCAUAAGCACAAUAACGAUUCUCUUCUGCCUGCUGGAACUCUCUGGUCCCCACCAAGUGGCCCUUCCUUUGCUGACCCCACCCUGGCCCUCCUUCCCUCUCUUCAACCCGGCGACAGGGAGCAUUCUGUCCUUCAGCGACAUCUUUGCUGUUGGGACCCCUGUCCUGUUCCAACUGGAGGCCCUGGCCCCCCUCCUAUAGGGGACUGGCUUUCCCUAGGCCUACCUGAUUCACCCUCAAGUUCUCUGGGGCUUUAGCUCUUGUCCCCCUAGCCCAAGGGGAGUAGCAGUGGGCUGCAGGGACUUCAGGAGUGCCCUUCCUGAUCAUCCCCACAUUUCUUCCAGGCCUCUAAGUCUGAACUAUGACCGCCACUCAGGCCUGCCUUCGCCACCCCUGUUUUGCUCCCCAGAGGCACCUUCGGUGGUCAGAGAGAGGCAGGGUGGGGAGGGCCACUGUGAUGCCCAGGAUCUCAGGGGCUCACCAUUCCCAUCUUUCCAGGUCUCUGCUUGUCCUCUACCAUGAGCCUCAGGCAGGACAGAGGCAAAUGCUUCUAGAGACGGGGUGCUCAGCACCCCCAACAAGAAGGACAUCCCUGAGGUAGUUGUCCUACACCAUUCACACUCCUCUUUCCCCCAUUUCAGCCUGUUUGCUGGGCUCCUUCUGGGUUCAGAACUCCCUCUCCCACUCUGGCUUCCCUUCCCCCAUAGCUCCAUUACUCUGUCCUGGCUGCUCUUUUCUCAGACCACUGGCCCAAAGGGGUACAGACACCUUGUCAAAUGCAUUUAAACAAUGGUCUUCUGGGCUGCUGAUCUGGGAGCUAACUAGCCCACCGCCCCCCC